rnacentral:piRNA from 1 species
UUGUGAUUUAGAAAGGUGCAUUCACUCA